CAAGUCGAGCGGAAACGAGUUAUCUGAACCUUCGGGGGACGAUAACGGCGUCGAGCGGCGGACGGGUGAGUAAUGCCUAGGAAAUUGCCCUGAUGUGGGGGAUAACCAUUGGAAACGAUGGCUAAUACCGCAUGAUGCCUACGGGCCAAAGAGGGGGACCUUCGGGCCUCUCGCGUCAGGAUAUGCCUAGGUGGGAUUAGCUAGUUGGUGAGGUAAGGGCUCACCAAGGCGACGAUCCCUAGCUGGUCUGAGAGGAUGAUCAGCCACACUGGAACUGAGACACGGUCCAGACUCCUACGGGAGGCAGCAGUGGGGAAUAUUGCACAAUGGGCGCAAGCCUGAUGCAGCCAUGCCGCGUGUGUGAAGAAGGCCUUCGGGUUGUAAAGCACUUUCAGUCGUGAGGAAGGUGGUGUAGUUAAUAGCUGUAUCAUUUGACGUUAGCGACAGAAGAAGCACCGGCUAACUCCGUGCCAGC
rnacentral:rRNA from 1 species